rnacentral:rRNA from 1 species
CAGCCGCCGCGGGAAUACGUAGGGUGCGAGCGUUAAUCGGAAUUACUGGGCGUAAAGCGUGCGCAGGCGGUUCGUUAAGACAGAUGUGAAAUCCCCGGGCUUAACCUGGGAACUGCAUUUGUGACUGGCGAGCUAGAGUAUGGCAGAGGGGGGUAGAAUUCCACGUGUAGCAGUGAAAUGCGUAGAGAUGUGGAGGAAUACCGAUGGCGAAGGCAGCCCCCUGGGCCAAUACCGACGCUCAUGCACGAAAGCGUGGGGAGCAAACAGGAUUAGAUACCCCCGUAGUCCCUGUCUCUUAUAA